AUGCGUGGACCUAGAAUGACUAUGCAUAGAAUACCACUUUUUGUGUGGUCCAUUCUAGUGACAGCAUUCCUACUUUUAUUAUCACUUCCGGUACUGGCGGGGGCAAUUACAAUGUUAUUAACCGAUCGAAACUUUAAUACAACCUUUUUUGAUCCUGCAGGAGGGGGAGACCCAAUAUUAUACCAGCAUCUCUUUUGGUUCUUCGGUCAUCCAGAGGUGUAUAUUCUCAUUCUGCCUGGAUUUGGUAUUAUUAGUCAUAUCGUAUCGACCUUUCAAGAAAACCGGUCUUCGGGUAUCUAG
rnacentral:rRNA from 1 species